rnacentral:rRNA from 1 species
AGUGAACGCUGGCGGUAGGCCUAACACAUGCAAGUCGAACGGCAGCACAGUAAGAGCUUGCUCUUACGGGUGGCGAGUGGCGGACGGGUGAGGAAUACAUCGGAAUCUGCUUUUUCGUGGGGGAUAACGUAGGGUAACUUACGCUAAUACCGCAUACGACCUACGGGUGAAAGCAGGGGAUCUUCGGACCUUGCGCGAUUGAAUGAGCCGAUGUCGGAUUAGCUAGUUGGCGGGGUAAAGGCCCACCAAGGCGACGAUCCGUAGCUGGUCUGAGAGGAUGAUCAGCCACACUGGAACUGAGACACGGUCCAGACUCCUACGGGAGGCAGCAGUGGGGAAUAUUGGACAAUGGGCGCAAGCCUGAUCCAGCCAUACCGCGUGGGUGAAGAAGGCCUUCGGGUUGUAAAGUCCUUUUGUAGGGAAAGAAAAGCAGCAGGUUAAUACACCGCGGUUAUGACGGUACCCAAAGAAUAAGCACCGGCUAACUUCGUG